UGGGGAAUAUUGCACAACGGGCGAAAGCCUGAUGCAGCGACGCCGCGUGAGGGAUGGAGGCCUUCGGGUUGUAAACCUCUUUCGCUCAUGGUCAAGCCGCAACUGUGGGUUGUGGUGAGGGUAGUGGGUAAAGAAGCGCCGGCUAACUACGUGCCAGCAGCCGCGGUAAUACGUAGGGCGCGAGCGUUGUCCGGAAUUAUUGGGCGUAAAGGGCUUGUAGGCGGUUGGUCGCGUCUGCCGUGAAAUUCUCUGGCUUAACUGGGGGCGUGCGGUGGGUACGGGCUGACUUGAGUGCGGUAGGGGAGACUGGAACUCCUGGUGUAGCGGUGGAAUGCGCAGAUAUCAGGAAGAACACCGGUGGCGAAGGCGGGUCUCUGGGCCGUUACUGACGCUGAGGAGCGAAAGCGUGGGGAGCGAACAGGAUUAGAUACCCUGGUAGUCCACGCUGUAAACGUUGGGCACUAGGUGUGGGGGCCACCCGUGGUUUCUGCGCCGUAGCUAACGCUUUAAGUGCCCCGCCUGGGGAGUACGGCCGCAAGGCUA
rnacentral:rRNA from 1 species